CGUUGUAUUACCAAUUGGUAAGCACAAAGAAUUAUCGUGUAAAGCAACAGAUACUCAAUAUGUGAUGUUAAUACGAAGGAAUCAGAAUCAAGAGAUGCCGUAGAAACGAUCUUACCAAAAUUAUUGUUAUAAAACUGGCUGCUCCCAAAUCCUCUAGCCUCCCAGUCCCUGCCCUUUCGAGCUCAUCUGGGUUUCUACCACAUCAAAGUCCGUUGAGCAUUACUCCCUCAGAGUUUGAAUUAUGGCAAUAGAAACAAAUUUGGAAGAUUUAUUAGGCAUCAAUUUACUGGUUAUGAGAAGCAGUUUUACCUUCCUGAAGACGACCAUAGUCCUGUUGAAGCAAGCGCCAAGCAACAAGUACUAAGAAGGACGAUGGCUGUCCAGUAAUCAGCCUAUCGAGACUGUCAAUCACCAUCUCACUCUGUGCCUUGUAUCCUUCAACAGCCAUCUGCUUUUCACUGAGGAGCUCAGUGGAACGAUCUGAUGGUUGGCCAUCAAAUUUUCCAAUGGAAGAACUCUCCGGUACUUCAUCCUUUAAAUGUGAAUGAGGAUUGCCUGCUAACUUUUUUGCUUUUUUUUUCAACUUAGCUUCAGCAACAGCUACUGGAUCCAAACACUCCCCAGCAUGAUAAGUUGAAGCCCAAAGCAGAGGAUUUUGUUUCUCAUCUGCAAAACUCCUCAUCAUAUGCCGAAUUGAGUCAGUUGAUAUUACUGUUGUAAUUCCUAACCUGCUACCCUGUCAGAAGAAAAAGUGCAGGUGUAAUUGAGUUUAAACAUUCUAAAACAAAUUAUACUUUCAACUAGAACUACAUGUCAACUGUAAAAGCAUUAAUAGUGCAACAAAAGGUUGUCCCUA